AACGUAGGAUCCGAGCGUUGUCCGGAAUCACUGGGUGUAAAGGGUGCGUAGGCGGGCUUGCGCGUAAAGGGUUAAAGACCUCGGCUCAACCGAGGGAAUGCCCUUGAUACGGCAGGUCUUGAGUGCGGGAGAGGAUGGUGGGAUUCCGGGUGUGGCGGGGAAAUGCGUAGAGAUCAGGAGGAACACCGAGGGCGAAGGCAGCCAACUGGACCGCCACUGACGCUGAGGCACGAAAGCGUGGGGAGCAAACAGG
rnacentral:rRNA from 1 species